rnacentral:rRNA from 1 species
UACGAAGGGGGCUAGCGUUGCUCGGAAUCACUGGGCGUAAAGCGCACGUAGGCGGCUUCUUAAGUCAGGGGUGAAAUCCUGGAGCUCAACUCCAGAACUGCCUUUGAUACUGAGGAGCUAGAGUCCGGGAGAGGUGAGUGGAAUUCCUAGUGUAGAGGUGAAAUUCGUAGAUAUUCGCAAGAACACCAGUGGCGAAGGCGGCUCACUGGCCCGAUACUGACGCUGAGGCACGAAAGCGUGGGGAGCAAACAGGA